rnacentral:misc_RNA from 1 species
UCUGUCGAUCUUCUGGCUCCUACUAUUAAAAGGAAUUAUGCAACAAAAAUGGAAUUGUGUGAGAAGCGUAAACAAGAUUUGUUGUUAGAAAUAUUGUUGGAGGAGCAGCAUGGGAGGGACCUUUCUAAUGAUGAGGAAUUGCUUUAUGAUCCAAAGGACAUAAUUGUGGAAAACCCAUUACGAGCAAGGAAGAAGAGCAGUGACAGAAGCAGGAUGUCUAAGAGAUUGACCGAGGAGGCAGAGAGAUAUAUUGAAGAUUUCAUUUCAAAUGUUGAAGAUACAGAUAUCUCAUCUUUAGAUGGGGAAAGGAGUGAUACAAGUUCAAGUUUAGGAGGAAUAACGAAGACACAAACUUUCCAAAGUCCAGUGUUGUCCAAGCCCAUUCCUGUUGAAAUGGAUGGGGUUGUACUGCC